GACGAACGCUGGCGGCGUGCCUAAUACAUGCAAGUUGAGCGCUGAAGGUUGGUACUUGUACCAACUGGAUGAGCAGCGAACGGGUGAGUAACGCGUGGGGAAUCUGCCUUUGAGCGGGGGACAACAUUUGGAAACGAAUGCCAAUACCGCAUAAAAACUUUAAACACAAGUUUUAAGUUUGAAAGAUGCAAUUGCAUCACUCAAAGAUGAUCCCGCGUUGUAUUAGCUAGUUGGUGAGGUAAAGGCUCACCAAGGCGAUGAUACAUAGCCGACCUGAGAGGGUGAUCGGCCACAUUGGGACUGAGACACGGCCCAAACGCCUACGGGAGGCAGCAGUAGGGAAUCUUCGGCAAUGGACGAAAGUCUGACCGAGCAACGCCGCGUGAGUGAAGAAGGUUUUCGGAUCGUAAAACUCUGUUGGUAGAGAAGAACGUUGGUGAGAGUGGAAAGCUCAUCAAGUGACGGUAACUACCCAGAAAGGGACGGCUAACUACGUG
rnacentral:rRNA from 1 species